rnacentral:rRNA from 1 species
UACGAAGGGGGCUAGCGUUGUUCGGAAUUACUGGGCGUAAAGCGCACGUAGGCGGAUAUUUAAGUCAGGGGUGAAAUCCCAGAGCUCAACUCUGGAACUGCCUUUGAUACUGUUUGGCUUGAGACCGGUAGAGGUAAGUGGAACUGCGAGUGUAGAGGUGAAAUUCGUAGAUAUUCGCAAGAACACCAGUGGCGAAGGCGGCUUACUGGACCGGUUCUGACGCUGAGGCGCGAAAGCGUGGGGAGCAAACAGG